GAUGAAGAACGUAGUGAAAUGCGAUAAGUAAUGUGAAUUGCAGAAUUCAGUGAAUCAUCGAAUCUUUGAACGCACCUUGCGCUCCUUGGUAUUCUGAGGAGCAUGCCUGUUUGAGUAUCAUAAAAUUGUCAACUGUGUCACUUUUAUAGUGAUUUACAGAUUAGAUAUGGGAGUUUUUGCAGGCCUAGUUUGUCAGCUCUCCUGAAACACAUUAGCAGUGCCUUGUUGGUCCUUGGGUGUGAUAAUUUAUCUAUGCCUUGACGUGUACCUUCAUGAAGGUUGUGCUGCUUCCAAUGGUCUUUGGACACAUUUAUUGAAGAUUUGAUCUCAAAUCAGGCAGGACUACCCGCUGAACUUAAGCAUAUCAAUAAGCGGAGGA
rnacentral:misc_RNA from 1 species